UCUUAUGUACAUGCCUACAACAUUAAUAAACUAGAUCCCAUUAUAACUCUACAGUUAAGCGUGAUUGGGCUAGAGUAGUAUUGGGAUGGGUGACCUCCUGGGAAGUCAUAGUGUUUUACAUGCC
rnacentral:rRNA from 1 species